AAUUCGCGGCCCCGCAGACGCCGACACGGCCGACGGUCGGAGCCGCAGCGGUGCGGAUCGGUGCGGUCGAUGCGGUGCUCCGCUGCGGGGCGGUGACGCUGCUCUGCGGGAAGGAAGGGGGCUUUCAACCUCAGGCUGCACCCUCGGAUAAUGGUUUAAAAUCGUUGCAAUGCGAAUCCCACCGCUCAAAGUAAAGCGCUCGGUCCCCGCACCACCGGCCCCGUCCCCACGGCCUCGGGGCGGCCUCGGAGCGCUGCGGGCCCCGGCGCUGCCUUCUGCUGGCACUCGGCGUCCAGGAAAUCCGCAAAGCGGCGGGACGAGUGGAAGCCGUGACAUCACUCGGGGCAGGAGGCUUCGGGCAGAAGGUGCGGAGCUCUGCGUUCCCGCACCGAGACACGUCCGCGUCCCGCCGCCCCCGGACCUCGUUCCCUCCAAACCCUACAAACGGACGGAAAUCAUCCCCAUAGCCGCCGCUGUCCGGAGAGAUCGGUGCCUGGACCGGGAGCUGCCCUCCGUGCGGCAGCCGUGCUGCGGAACGCCAGAAGUGUACGCACAGUGAGUAGGACGCGCUGCGAUAAAACGGCGAGUCCCUCUCUUUUCUAUUUCUUUCUUUCUUUUUCUUUUUCUUUUUUCCUUUUUAAAUAGUAACUAUAAUAGCGCGGAGUUCUGUUUUUUUUUUUCCUGUUGUUUUCCUUUGUUUUGUGUUUUUUGUUUGUUUGUUUUUGUUUUAGUUUUCCUUCUCCCUCCUUCGCAGAGGAGGGGAGCAAUGCUCUGAAGAACAAACCCGCCGCGAGCGCCGGCGGAGGCAGCGUUGAGGCUGAGGCAGCGCUUCCAGGCACUGCCCCCUCCGCGCACCGACCUCCGUGCUGACACGGGGCUCCGCGGGCUCAGCUCGUUCAGCUGUCCCAGUCAGCGUCACGGCUUUCAGAGGGCCGCGGUUACGCUUUCCCUUGCUGACGGUGCAUGCAGAGCUAUCUUUCUCCCUUCUCCACCUGGACCUGCUAUCAAACCCGAGAAAAACCAGCCAAGCAAAAGAAAUAGCGGAGUCAUCUGCAUCGCUCGGGGCAGCCUCCUGCACUGCCCUACCCAGGGGCCUCGCAGAGGAGCAGUUCUGGGGCACUAUCCGUGCCAAUGUGGUCACGGUGCUGACAUGGUGCUGGUACAGCCUUUAGCAGCCAGCUCUCCACCUGCCACACAUGAAAUCAAUGCGUGGCUUUGAUGCACAGCUCCUACACGGGGAAAUGCUCCGAGCCCGUCGGUGAUGUGAUGGGGAGCAUGAGCAGAAAUCCCUCAGUGUGGGGCUUAGGGAUGGCUGUGCUACACUUCCAGCCACAGCCAAACCCUGCACAUCACUGCCACAGCCAUGUAUAGGUACGGAGCCACAUGCAGAGCUGCAGGCAGUGAGUGCUCUCUGCCAUGGCCGGGCACAAACACACUGUGAGACAAAGGUGGGUGCACCGCGUCGGUAAUUACAGCCUGUCUAAAACCACAGCCAUGGCUGUACCACCUAUUUCUAGACACUAAACAAGCCCCAGACAGAAAGCAAGGGAUUGUCCUUAUUGCGCUGGUGUUCAAUCCAAGCAAGCCCCACAUCUGCAGCCCAAUUAGAGAUGUGCUCCCUGAUAUCACAUCAUCCCCUAUGCUGUGAACAGGCAACGUGUGCUCAGGCUGCUCGCUGUGUGCCCCGUUCACUGCCUGGAAUAGGACAGUUUACAGCUCACAAAAUUAAGUUAAUGAUUAUAUCUGUGCAGAGCGGGGCCUCCAGUUUUUAACAGCAAAAUGAAGGAACAGAUCAAACCCCACAUUCCGUGGGUUUGCAGCAGUGUUGGUCUGCAGGUUCCAGCUCUCGGCUGCCGUCACACCUGGCUGUGUGUUUAUGGAGCAGCAGGGAGGUGCUGCAGGCAUUUAACACAAUAAUGGCUAAUUGAAACUUUUUAUUUCUAAAAUAACACCAUGUUUUAUAUAUAUUAAAAUCAUAUUAAAGCUGACUUGCCAGACUCUCCCGAGCGCCACUACAGCCAGUUAAAAACCCUGUUAAGAGCCAAUUAAAUAACGAAGCUUUCUAUAACAGGCGCAUGAUAUAAAACAAUUAAGUGGUGGAGGCUUUUUUCUGUUAGUUUAUUUCUCUGCCUUUGCAUUUCUGUGCAGAUCUUAUUUUAAAGUGUGGUACAGACCCACCAAAGUGCCCUCCCAGCAGAGCACUCCCAUGGAACCAAAUAGGCUGGAGCUGGAGGUGCUGCAGAGCGCGCCCACUGAGCACUAAAGAAAAUCACACUAAUAAGAAAUGCUCAAAGAAAAGUUCCCAAACCGAACACCCAGGUGUCUGAAGUCCCACAGAUGGUCCCUGCAGGGUGGGCUCAGUGGUGCCAAGCUGGGCACCAAGCAGUGUGCCUGAUGUCCACGGCCCCAGGCAGCCUUUGUGGCCACCACCAGCCCAGGGCACGGCCAGCAGCUAUGGGGAGCUUCACCAGCAGAAGGCAAUGGGAACUGGGGAUCCCAGGCACAGCGCACGCAGAAGGUGAGGGUGAUUUACCACUUUGGGAUGGAAUAAUGUUUUUGGAAUAAAAUUAUGCUGCAU
ensembl:lncRNA